GAUCAGCCCGCGUCCGAUUAGCUAGUUGGUGAGGUAAAGGCUCACCAAGGCAGCGAUCGGUAGCUGGUUUGAGAGAACGACCAGCCACACUGGGACUGAGACACGGCCCAGACUCCUACGGGANGCAGCAGUGGGGAAUCUUGGACAAUGGGCGCAAGCCUGAUCCAGCCAUGCCGCGUGAGUGAUGAAGGCCUUCGGGUUGUAAAACUCUUUUGGCGGGGGCGAUAAUGACGGUACCCGCAGAAUAAGCUCCGGCUAACUUCGUGCCANCAGCCGCGGUAAUACGAAGGGGGCUAGCGUUGUUCGGAAUUACUGGGCGUAAAGCGUGCGCAGGCGGCUUCUCAAGUCAGGGGUGAAAGCCCAGAGCUCAACUCUGGAAUUGCCUUUGAGACUGAGUGGCUUGAGUACGAGAGAGGUGAGUGGAAUUCCCAGUGUAGAGGUGAAAUUCGUAGAUAUUGGGAAGAACACCGGUGGCGAAGGCGGCUCACUGGCUCGNAACUGACGCUCAUGCACGACAGCGUGGGGAUCAAACAGGAUUAGAUACCCUGGUAGUCCACGCCGUAAACUAUGAACGCUAGCCGU
rnacentral:rRNA from 1 species